UGAGGAAUUUUGCGCAAUGGGGGAAACCCUGACGCAGCAACGCCGCGUGGGUGAUGAAGGCCUUCGGGUCGUAAAGCCCUGUCGGGCGGGAAGAACGUCCCUUCGGGGAAUGACGGUACCGCCAGAGGAAGCACCGGCUAACUCCGUGCCAGCAGCCGCGGUAAUACGGAGGGUGCAAGCGUUAUUCGGAAUUACUGGGCGUAAAGGGCGUGCAGGCGGGAGAGCAAGUCUGAUGUGAAAGCCCGGGGCUUAACCCCGGAAGGGCAUUGGAAACUGCUUUUCUUGAGUUCUGGAGAGGAAGGGAGAAUUCCCGGUGUAGAGGUGAAAUUCGUAGAGAUCGGGAGGAACAUCAGUGGCGAAGGCGCCCUUCUGGACAGCAACUGACGCUGAGACGCGAAAGCGUGGGGAGCAAACA
rnacentral:rRNA from 1 species